UCAAGCAAUCCUUACACCUCAGGACCCCACACUCAGCCCCCCGAGUAGUUGGGACUACAGGUGCGCAUCACCACACCUAGCUAAGUUUUAAAAUUUUUUGUAGAAUCCACAUCUCCCUAUGUUGCCCAGGCUGGUCUCAAACUCCUGAGCUCAAGUGAUCCUCUGGCCUCAGCUUCCCAAAGUUCUGGGAUUACAGGCAUGAGCCACUGCACCCAGCCACAAUUUAAUUUCUUUAAAAAACCAUUUCAAAAGACAAUGGCAGAAAAACAUGUGGCCAAAACAGCACCUACCCUUAAACGGACUCUUGAUUGAGGGGUGGAGCUGGAGGCAGAUGUAAUACAUCAAUAGGGGUUCUUAAAUAUUCUAAAAUAAUUAUUGGAAAGAUAGUACUGAGGAGGCAUGGGUCAGUCUGAUGCUUCUUGAUCACACUGAGGCUUGAGUUAAGGUCUAGGGAGUUUUCAGCACGGGCAUCAGAAUUUCUUUUUGAUCCCUCUUCUCCUUUACAGUGGUUUGAGAUAUGUCUUCUUCGUGAUGCUUGUGUGAGAGUAAAGGAGGACUCCAAACAAACAAAUGCAGGAAAUGAAUGUGUAGAGGAAGAAGUCAGGUGAUGCUGGUGUCCUGGGGACCACUCCACGGAAGGAGAAGACACUGGGAAUAGAAGACCUUUGAAAAUCGUGAUGGGCUUAAAGAUCCCAGCGCAGGUCCCACCACUUAUUCGCUCUCACCUGGCAUCUCAAUCUCUGCAUCUGUAAAAAUGAAGAAAAUAAUCCAUCUCCCUGGAUGACUUCAUGAGAUUUUUUGUAGUCAUCAGUGAGGUACUGUACAUAGACGUGCUGUAAGGACGAAAAGUUCUUCACAAUAGGAUGCAUGGGAAAGCAAGCAGGGAGCAGUGGAGGAGGCUGAACCCAGAACGUGGGCUGAGGAUGCUGGGAGGGAACAGGGUUGGGGGCUGAAUCCUAACAGGAGGAAGCUACUGAGCUGCUUCUGUAAGUUGGGCCUGGAUGGAAACCCUGGAAGCAGUAACUCCAAGAAAGAUUCAAAAGUGGGACAAGAAGAGCAAGAACCAGGAAUGGAAAAACUCCAAGGAACAUGAGUGAAGAGCCUCGAAAAAACAGGACACUCACAGUUCAGGAAACUACCAAGGGUCCAAGGAGAGGCCUUGCUUGGCCGUGGUGUGGUCCUGCAACUCCAGGGCAGACCUAGACUCAUGGGAAAGUCCCUGCUUUGUGAUGAGGCUGAAAGAGGAUGAGUGGGGAGUGGCCGGAAGAAGAAAGGUGACUCCCAGGGUCUGGGCCAAGGAAGGGUUUUGGAAAGGAAAGGGGACUCACAACAGGGCAUGCUUGGGAGGUAUUAAGGCUUUCAACCCUCGCCAAGGCGAAUAACAUGAGACUGUAAGUUAGCUAUAUAUAGUGUGUAACCUGAAAAUGCCUCCCCUUGCACCACUUGCACUGUUGAACUUAUGGGUGUAACCAGAGACCAGUGUCAACAAGGAAUCUGGCUUGGAACGCUUUUGUCUGCAGCCCUCUUUGGAGCGUGACUUGCUCUUUCAGAGGAAGAGCUGGCAAGAUUUUCUGAUGGAUGGAACUGGAAGGAAAGAAGUAAAGAUGAGUCAACAUCUUCAGUCUGAGCAGCCGGAGGGAUGAAGCUGUCCUUUACUAAGAUGGAGAAAGCGGGUGGAGGAACAGGUUGGGAGGUCUGUAUUUCUCUACCUGGACUACCCUGAGAGCUAACCCCAGUUAUUGGUCUGGAAGCAACGAAUGAAGGCCGGGGCAGAGCUUGAGGAGGGCAACAUCAUUUUGUCACAGUCGCCAUCAAGAAUCUAGUUGCAGACUGGGCGCUGUGGCUCACGCCUGUAAUCCCUGCACUUUGGGAGCCAAGAUCUGAAGAAGAAAACAGAAGCAACAUUCAAAUUAACAUCAGUCAACUGAUGGAAUAUUUUAGAUGAAGUAAGAGAAGCCAAGGCAUGUACCCUCAGGCUCUGGGCUUCUCCCUGCAAGGUUGGGAAGAAAUUUGGAGGAGGCAAAGUGGGAGCAAGUCAGAUGGAAG
rnacentral:lncRNA from 10 species